AAUGGACUUUCCAGAAUUGAAAAUUGCUGAAUUAAGGACAAAGAAGCAGAAAGUGGUGCAUUUUCUCAGGAAAGCACCUUGCAUUUGAAAGCUGACACUCUCUUGCGGCCUCAUUACGAGGCGUCAAAUCUGACCCUGCUUCCUUUAUCACAAAUCUUAUCCCCUUCUUAAUAAACAUACAAUUUAGGGGAGCAGAGAGAGUCAAAAGAACGACAUUGUCUAGAUUAUAAAUCCUCAGCAUCGGAUGAUUUUCCCUCCUUUCCUGUGGGGCAGAAAAAGAGGUGCUCAGCCCAUUUCCAGUCAUGAUCCUACAGUGAACAGAGGACACACUCGUGUAGUGGAACCGAGGAAGGAUUUGUGAAGGGAUUAUUUACAAAGGUGUGAACAGAGUUAAGGAAAGCCAAAAGGCACAGAGAAGCAUCCAGCUAUAGCAACAGUGGAAAGCUGCAACCACCAUUAGCAAGGGGAGGAAAUGGUUACUAGACCCAGUGAGAGUUGCAGCUGCAGAGGAGGGCAGCCUGGCAGGACCUUUUUCUGAAUAAGAAUGCAGUCCCCGGCAGUCCAUGGCCCAGUAUGACUCAAGGAAACAGAUACCGCAACAUCUUUCUCCAAACUCCGGUCUCCCACCAGUGCCUCCCAGCCAGAAGCCAGGGAGCAAAAGAGUUCCUUGGAGCAGCAUAUAGAGGUCAGCAUUCUGGGGACCCAGAGCAGAAAGAGGAGCUGGGAAUGGAUCUGGAGGGGCAAGCAGAGACUAUCCAGAGCUCUAGGAUGGCGGGGGCACUCCACUAGAGGGAUCUCGAAGACAGGCCUUGGGAUCUCAUUCCCUGAUUGGAAUCUUACUGAGCUGCUGUGCUGGUGGAAAAGCAGUGCAAAAGCAAUAACAAACUGGUGACCAUCUAGUGGAAGAAUCAAGAGGCUCUGAAUUCCCCUUCAGAGACUUCUUAGCACCCUGAAAAUUAUCUUCCUAAUCCAAGGUACACUAUUGCACAUUUGACAAAUGUAUUCUCAUCAAUUCCCCACAGCAAUGCUAGAAAGUACUUACUGCAACUUUAUAGAUGAAGAAACUGAAAUUUAGGGAAGUUGAAUUUGUAAAAAAUUGGUUUAAAUUCAAUCAGGUAGAAAGUAAUAGAGGCAGACUUCAAAUUCCAGCCUAAGGAGAGUGUUCAAGAAAUCCAGGAAUCCUCCCAAGGGGCAGAAGCAGUCACAGUCCUGGUGGAAUGGCGGAGGCCUGGGGCCAGGACCAGGAUAACACAGAGCUGCAACGACAGUGUCCACACCCAACUAGUAGUGGUGGCAGACAGACACCUCAAGCCUGAGGGAGACUGGCAGUGUGGACUCUGAACACAGAAGCUGAUGUCUAGAGAGCAGCAUGAUGAGAAACCUUAAUCAGCGGACAGCAAAGACCCAGAGAGCAGCACAUAGAAUGGAAGACCCUUUCACCACUGCUCUCGAAAAAACUGUUGCUUUUGGGGAAUAAGAUGACAUCUUGGGAAAGUGAGGGAGUGGGGAAGGAGCUGUGAAAGACUGAUCAUCUGCACUAAAGAGACUGAGUUGCUCUAAAGACGACAGACUUAUUUCCAGCUGACUGGCAAGACCCAGUGGUUCCCUGAGUCUCCCUGCCAGAACCUCCACUGCCUAGCAGAAUGAGCUGAUAGAGGAUUAAGUGUGUUUUGUUUUAGUUUAACCAAGAAUGAAGACUUUCUCUUUCCUGUAAAAGUUCGGAAGUAUCUGAAGAAGACCAUAAAUACCACACUCCUUCUAGAUCUAUUGUUCCACCAUUUCUAGGAUGUCACAAUUUCCCUGAUGGUCCAAGAUAGUGGUAUUUAUAUUUCAAAAAGAAUGUUGAAAAAAGGAAGGGGGAAGAACAGAAAGGGCAUGCACCAGAUUUCCUUCAAAAAAGGCUCUUACAAGUUGUCAAAUCUAAUCCACUUAAGUCCCACUAGCCAGAUAUUAGCUUCAUGGCCACAUAUAGCUUCCAAAAAUACUGGGUAAUGCAGAAUUUUGGGGGUCACUGUAUUAGUGUGUUCUCAUGCUGCUAAUAAAGUCAUACCUGAGACUGAGUAAUUUAUAAAGGAAAGAGGUUUAAUUGAAUCACAGUUCCGCAUGGAAGGAGAGGCCUCACAAUCAUGGUGGAAGGUGAAUGAGGAGCAAAGUCAUGUCUUAGAUGGUGGCAGGCAAGAGGGUUUGUGCAGGGGAACUCUAACUUAUAAAACCAUCAGAUCUUAUAAGUCUUAUUCACUGCCAUGAGAACAGUAUGGGAGAAACCGCCUCCAUUAUUCAAUUAUCUCUACCUGGCCCCACCCUUGACACCUGGGGAUUAUUACAAUUAGAGGUGAGAUUUGGGUGGGGACACACAGCCAAACCGUAUCAGUCACCAUGACUAUCUAAAAGUUCUACUAUUUCAGAAAAAAGACACAGAGAUGUUGGGAGAAAAUGAGGAACUCUGUCAUAGGGUCAUAGAUGUAAGACACUAUAGAGGGAAGUGAUGACUGAGAUACAGCCUGGUGAUGAUUCAUUAGUCUUUUAGAGUUUAUCACACAUUUGACCAUACCAGGACGGCAAGUGCUAGCUUUUAACACAGUGAUGUUCAUGUUAUUGCUUGUUACUAUAGGUAUUUCAAAAAGGGGUUAGGAGAGGUAUGUCCAGUUCUGCUGGCCCAAUACUCCUCAAAACCUAUCUUUGAGGUUUUAAUUAUUUAAAAAUUACACAGAGGAAAGACGCUGUUUAGUGUCACAAACCAUGUCUUUGGCUUAUUUUGCAAUUAUCCAUUGUUUUUAAUACUACUUUUUAGGCUAUUAUUCCUUUCAGCCUUACAGCAAUCAAACAUAAUUUUUCCUCAAUUCAUUUCCCACCAGACUACUCACUAAUUUUCCAUUCCUUCUUACCACAAAUUCUCACACAAAGUGGUGUUUAUUUUUGUUCCCUGCAACCUGUCUGCCUCUCUUUUCAUUCUAGUGAUACUACCUAAAAAAAACUAUAUUGAGGCAUAAUUUCAUAACUUUUAAAUAACUUUAAUGAGUUGUUUUCUAACUUUAUUGGUGACAAAGAAAAGGCAUCACUCACUUCAAGGGCAUAAGUCAGUGAUAUUUUAAGUAAAAUGACCAAGUUGUACAGCCAUCACCAUAAACAAGUUUUAGAAUAUUUCCAUCAUCCCAAUAAGUUGUGUUUGCUCCUUCUCCUCACCCUAGGUAGCCACUAAUUUGCAUUCUGCCUCUGUAGAUUUUCCUUUUCUGGACAUUUCAUAGAAACUGAACCAUAUAAUGUAUGGUCUCUGUGUCUGGCUUCUCUUACUGAGUGUGAAAGUUUUUGGGUUUCAUUAAUGUCAAAGUGUAUUUUACUACUUCAUUCUUAUCUAUUGACAAAUAAUAUUUCAUUGUAUAUGUAUAGCACAUAUUUCUAUUCAUUCAUUAGUUGAUGGAUGUUUAGAUUGUUUCCAAUUUUUGGUUGUUAUGAAUAAUACUCUU